rnacentral:rRNA from 1 species
GGGCAUCGGGAGGGAAGCUUGCUUUCCUUGCCGGCGACCGGCGCACGGGUGAGUAACACGUAUGCAACCUGCCCUCUUCAGGGGGACAACCUUCCGAAAGGGAGGCUAAUCCCGCGUAUAUCGGUUUCGGGCAUCCGAGAUCGAGGAAAGAUUCAUCGGAAGAGGAUGGGCAUGCGGCGCAUUAGCUUGACGGCGGGGUAACGGCCCACCGUGGCGACGAUGCGUAGGGGUUCUGAGAGGAAGGUCCCCCACACUGGUACUGAGACACGGACCAGACUCCUACGGGAGGCAGCAGUGAGGAAUAUUGGUCAAUGGGAGAGAUCCCGAACCAGCCAAGCCGCGUGAGGGAAGACGGCCCUAUGGGUUGUAAACCUCUUUUGUCGGAGAACAAAACCCGGGACGUGUCCCGGACUGCGUGUAUCCGAAGAAAAAGCAUCGGCUAACUCCGUGCCAGCAGCCGCGGUAAUACGGAGGAUGCGAGCGUUAUCCGGAUUUAUUGGGUUUAAAGGGUGCGUAGGCGGUCCGUUAAGUCAGCGGUAAAAUUGCGGGGCUCAACCCCGGCGAGCC